AAGGGAUGGAGACUGUUCUGCAAGUACUCCUAGGGAUAUUGGGGUUCCAAGCAGCCUGGGUCACUAGCCAAGAACUGGAGCAGAGUCCUCAGUCCUUGAUUGUCCAAGAGGGAAAGAAUCUCACCAUAAACUGCACAUCAUCAAAGACAUUAUAUGGCUUACACUGGUACAAGCAAAAGUAUGGUGAAGGUCUUAUCUUCUUGAUGAUGCUACAGAAAGGUGGGGAAGAGAAAAGUCAUGAAAAAAUCACUGCCAAGUUGGAUGAGAAAAAGCAGCAAAGUUUCCUGCAUAUCACAGCCGCCCAGCCCAGCCAUGCAGGCAUCUACCUCUGUGGAGGAGACGCACAGUGA